UACGAAGGGGGCUAGCGUUGUUCGGAAUGACUGGGCGUAAAGGGUGCGUAGGUUGUUAUUUAAGUCUGAUGUGAAAGUUUGGGGCUUAACCCCAAGACGGCAUUGGAAACUGGAUGACUGGAGUGCGAGAGAGGAGCUUGGAAUUGCUUGUGUAGAGGUGAAAUUCGUAGAUAUAAGCAAGAACACCAAAGGCGAAGGCAUGGCUCUGGCUCGUAACUGACACUGAGGCACGAAAGCGUGGGGAGCAAACAGG
rnacentral:rRNA from 1 species